CUACUGACAUCAGAGGUGUGUCAUCUUUGAUAAUGUAAGGGUAUAAUAAUGAUAUUACCUUACUAUAAGUGUCGUCCAAAUCUGGUGCCAGAAGACUCGGUAAUGCCAGAGACGCAAACGUUAAUAGUCUUUAUCAGGCGUAAAGGGUUUGUAGGCAGCUUAAAAAGAAAAAGAAUAAAAAAUAAAAGCUAGAAUCAAGAAGAGGUUAAACCAAACAAUGCACACUGUAAGGUUGAUAACUAGAAAUAGUCAAGUGUAGAGUACUAAUGGCGAAGGCAUUUAACCAAUUAAUGAUUGACGCUGAGAAACUAAGGGGAGGACUGAAAAAAGGAUUAGAUACCCAAGUAUCCCUCUCUGUCAACGAUGAAUGGUAGUUACUAGAUUAAUAUAAAACUAGAGACGAUGUUAACACGAAAACCAUUCCGCCUUGUGAGUACGACUGCAAAGUUGAAAACAAAAAAAUUAGUCGGUUUCGGAGCAAACGAAGUGAAGCAUGUUAUUUAAUUC
rnacentral:rRNA from 1 species